UACGGGGGGGGCAAGCGUUGUUCGGAAUUACUGGGCGUAAAGGGCUUGUAGGUGGCCACCUAAGUCAGACGUGAAAUCCCUCGGCUUAACCGGGGAACUGCGUCUGAUACUGGAUGGCUUGAGUGUGGGAGAGGGAUGCGGAAUUCCAGGUGUAGCGGUGAAAUGCGUAGAUAUCUGGAGGAACACCGGUGGCGAAGGCGGCAUCCUGGACCAAUAUUGACGCUGAGGAGCGAAAGCCAGGGGAGCAAACGGG
rnacentral:rRNA from 1 species